GACGUCAAGUCAUCAUGGCCUUAUGCCAGGGCACACACGUGCUACAAUGGGCGGUACAGAGCGGAGCGAAGCCGCGAGGCGCAAGCGAAUCGCUUAAAGCCGUCCGUAGUCCGGAUUGAAGUCUGAAACCCGACUUCAUGAAGUUGGAAUCGCUAGUAAUCGCGCAUCAGCAUGGCGCGGUGAAUACGUUCCCGGGUCUU
rnacentral:rRNA from 1 species